rnacentral:rRNA from 1 species
UACGUAGGGGCAAGCGUUGUCCGGAAUCAUUGGGCGUAAAGCGCGUGUAGGCGGCCAGGUAAGUCCGUUCUGAAAGCCCGGGGCUCAACCCCGGGACGGCGGAUGGAUACUGCUUGGCUCGAGUCCGGAAGAGGCGAGUGGAAUUCCCGGUGUAGCGGUGAAAUGCGCAGAUAUCGGGAGGAACACCAAUGGCGAAGGCAGCUCGCUGGGACGGUACUGACGCUGAGACGCGAAAGCGUGGGGGGC